rnacentral:rRNA from 1 species
CCUUUUUUGCGCAGCUGUUUGUAAUAUUGUACAAUGGGGGAAACCCUGAUGCAGCGACGCCGCGUGAGUGAAGAAGUAUUUCGGUAUGUAAAGCUCUAUCAGCAGGGAAGAAAAUGACGGUACCUGACUAAGAAGCCCCGGCUAACUACGUGCCAGCAGCCGCGGUAAUACGUAGGGGGCAAGCGUUAUCCGGAUUUACUGGGUGUAAAGGGAGCGUAGACGGUAGAGCAAGUCUGAAGUGAAAGCCCGCGGCUCAACUGCGGGACUGCUUUGGAAACUGUUCAACUGGAGUGCUGGAGAGGUAA